GACGAACGCUGGCGGCGUGCUUAACACAUGCAAGUCGAACGGAAAGGCCUGCUUUCCCUUGUGGAUUGCGGGUACUCGAGUGGCGAACGGGUGAGUAACACGUGAGUGAUCUGCCCCCAACUUGGGUAUAAGCCUGGGAAACUGGGUCUAAUUCCCGAUAGGACUGCAGGGUGGUGCCUGUGGUGGAAAACGAUUUUCUAGUGGUUGGGGAUGAGCUCGCGGCCUAUCAGCUUGUUGGUGGGGUAAUGGCCUACCAAGGCGGCGACGGGUAGCCGGCCUGAGAGGGGCGACAGCCACAUUGGGACUGGGAUACGGCCCAGACGGCUACGGGAGGCAGCAGUGGGGAAUAAUGGACAAUGGGCGGAAGCCUGAUGCAGCGACGCCGCGUGGGGGAUGACGGCCUUCGGGUUGUAAACUCCUUUCGACCGCGAGGAAGCCACCUGGUUGGAAGGGUGGUGACGGUAGUGGUAGAAGAAGCACCGGCUAACUACGUG
rnacentral:rRNA from 1 species